GCUGGGUGAGUCGACCCCUAAGGCGAGGCCGAAAGGCGUAGUCGAUGGGAAAAUGGUUAAUAUUCCAUUACUUCUGUGUAAUGCGAUGAGAGGACGGAGAAGGCUAAAUCAGCCUGGCGUUGGUUGUCCAGGUGAAAGGAUGUAGGCAUGUAUCUUAGGCAAAUCCGGGGUACUCUAUGCUGAGAUCUGAUAGCAAGCUGUACUUGUACAGCGAAGUGGUUGAUGCCAUGCUUCCAGGAAAAGUCUCUAAGCUUCAGUUACACAGGAAUCGUACCCGAAACCGACACAGGUGGUCAGGUCGAGUAGACCAAGGCGCUUGAGAGAACUCUGCUGAAGGAACUAGGCAAAAUGGUACCGUAACUUCGGGAGAAGGUACGCUGUUGUUGGUGAUGGAACUCGCUUCCUGAGCUGACGACAGCCGCAGAAACCAGGCCGCUGCAACUGUUUAUUAAAAACAUAGCACUCUGCAAACACGAAAGUGGACGUAUAGGGUGUGAUGCCUGCCCGGUGCUGGAAGGUUAAUUGAUGGGGUUAGCGUAAG
rnacentral:rRNA from 1 species